rnacentral:ncRNA from 1 species
GAGUAGUCGUAAGUGCGUAAAGUGCCAUCGAACGGGACGUUGUCGAUGGACGAAAGGAGAUUUCCUGCGGUACUGCGACGCGUCCGCU